AGUGAACGCUGGCGGCGUGCUUAACACAUGCAAGUCGAACGAGAACGGGUUAUAGCUUGCUAUAAUUGUCAGCUAAGUGGCGCACGGGUGAGUAAUGUAUAGGUAAUAUGCCUCUUACUAAGGGAUAACAAAUGGAAACGUCUGCUAAUACCUUAUACUCCUUAUUAACUAAAGUUGGUAAGGGAAAGAUUUAUUGGUAAGAGAUUGGCCUGUAUUGUAUCAGUUAGUUGGUGGGGUAAUGGCCUACCAAGACUAUGACGCAUAACUGGUUUGAGAGGAUGAUCAGUCACACUGGAACUGAGACACGGUCCAGACUCCUACGGGAGGCAGCAGUGGGGAAUAUUGCACAAUGGACGAAAGUACUGAUGCAGCAACGCCGCGUGGAGGAUGACACAUUUCGGUGCGUAAACUCCUUUUAUAUAAGAAGAUAAUAGACGGUAUUAUAUGAAUAAGANACCGGCUAACUACCUGCCAGCAGCCGCGGUAAACGU
rnacentral:rRNA from 1 species